rnacentral:lncRNA from 1 species
ACGCAAAUACGAGCAUACAGUCUACUUUGGAUUCAAUUUCAAAUCAGAAGCUCAUUGUAAAUUUAACUCUCUAAAUGAACAUGAUAGGAAAAUCUGAAUUGAAUAUACUAACAGCUGACAUUACUGCUAACCGCUCGUAUAAGCCUAAAAUAACAGUCCGAAUGUCUAGUUAUUACAAAGCAAUUAUCUCAAUUAUGAUAAGCAUCAGAAUUAAAAUAAAACAGUAAGAAUUCGUGGAUAAACUUGUAACAGUUAUCUUUAAGCACCUAGUUUAGGCUUCUACAUCACUGGAGAUCGAAAAUGUACCUGGAAUUGAGGUAAAAUGAGAAAGUAGACAGUCAGUCAAACAGCAACACAAACAGGUGUAAACUCACCAGGAAAACACAGCAGUUCUAGAUCAAAACCCAGGGAAUAAGGACAAUUGUAGCAGGCUUCAAAAUGACUUCAAAUAACCAAAUAAACCAAUUAAAGUUGAAAAGCAGGCCUGGAUGAACUACUUCAAUCGUAAAUCAGCAGAUCUGGAGGAAGUUUUAUACUAUUUUUGUAUUGACUUUCAGGAUUUGAUUUCUAGGAUCUAAUUUAUAUCUAAACUAUCUACUUUCUAUCAGAAUUUUGGAUUUUUCAAUAUGUUUUUCGGUAGUUUUGAUCUGAAACGUUUUCUGAAUUUUCAGAGUAUUUUCUCUCUAGACUUCUAAGAACUGAUUUGGAUUUUUUUGAAUUUUAAAUUUUGGAAUCUC